GUCCUGGUAGCUCAGUUGGUAGAGCGAUCGGCUGUUAACCGAUAGGUCGUAGGUUCGAGUCCUACCUGGGACG
rnacentral:tRNA from 1 species